UAGGGAAUCUUCGGCAAUGGGGGGAACCCUGACCGAGCAACGCCGCGUGAGUGAAGAAGGUUUUCGGAUCGUAAAGCUCUGUUGUUAAGGAAGAACGAGUGUGAGAAUGGAAAGUUCAUGCUGUGACGGUACUUAACCAGAAAGGGACGGCUAACUACGUGCCAGCAGCCGCGGUAAUACGUAGGCCCCGAGCGUUGUCCGGAUUUAUUGGGCGUAAAGCGAGCGCAGGCGGUUAGAAAAGUCUGAAGUGAAAGGCAGUGGCUCAACCAUUGUAGGCUUUGGAAACUGUUUAACUUGAGUGCAGAAGGGGAGAGUGGAAUUCCAUGUGUAGCGGUGAAAUGCGUAGAUAUAUGGAGGAACACCGGUGGCGAAAGCGGCUCUCUGGUCUGUAACUGACGCUGAGGCUCGAAAGCGUGGGGAGCGAACAGG
rnacentral:rRNA from 1 species